rnacentral:lncRNA from 1 species
ACGGCACACACUAGGGUCUCCGUCUCUCACACACACACACCACAAUGACGUCGUAAACAAUAGCACUAACCACCAUCGUCCGCAGCUCCCGCGUACAGAGGCCUCAGGCUCCCGGCUCCACGUGGACCGACCUCGCCCGGCAGCGCGGGGCCACCUCACCGCGAGCUCCUCCCGCAGCCCGGCCCGGGUCACCUCGACUCGCCAGGCUUAACUCAAUAACCACAACACCGGAAAAGGAAGCAAAGGUCGAAGUUCAUCCGCGGCCCUGAGGCCUGUGGGAAACGUAGUCCAACAACGAAAGAGCCCUGAAGCUCAAGCGGAGCCCGCUGGCCGCAGGGGCCGCACCACGCCCCAGACCCUGGAGUUUCCGGGUGCGCAGACCCUUGCCAUCAGCAGAGGCUGCCGCUGCGCGUCCCCUAGGCGCGGAAGAGGCGGCUGGUGGUCCCUGACGGCAAGGUGAAGUCGAGGCAGUAAUCGGGAACCCAGGUUUUAUACAUUACGAAUAAAGCUGGCACGUUUCCAUUUCUCCUGGGCAAAUAUUUAGAAGAAAAGUUGCUGGGUAAUUGAAGCACUGAGACCACAGAGGCAAGAGCUGGGGAAGGAAAACUGCCCAUGAGAUGAGAUGUGCCUCUCAGCUUCCAAAAUCGGGGAGAUGCCCCCCAUGGAAUCCAGCCAUCAUGCUGUGAGGAAUCCAAGCAGCUACAUAGAAAGGCCACAACUAGAUAUUCCAGCUGUAGUCAGCUGAAGCUCCAGCCAACAGCCAACAUCAACCACCACACGUGAAAACGAGCAAGCCUUCAGAUGAUUCCGACUCCCAACCUCCAAGCCACCUCAGCUGAAGCCAAGUAGAGCAGAGACUAGCUGUCCCCCAAUGCUCUAAUAUGCAGAUUCAUAAUUAAAAAGAAUGUUAUUGUUCUAAGCCAUGAA